UUUUUUAAUUAUAAAUUACUUGCCACAUGUCAAAAUUUGAUUGACCGUGUGACUUGUGCUUUAGUAUACAAGGGAUAAUAUCGAUAUGUUUCAAGAAAGAAUACACAAUAAUUGCUUUAUGAUAUGUUUGAUAUCACAAGGUACAAUCCAAUGUAUUUCUUAAUAUAUAUCACAUAAAUUAUACAACAAAUUAUUACAUUGAAUAUUAUUAUUUUAAGAAAACCCAACUCGAUAGUCUUUGUCAAUAUCUCCCCAUGCAACAAAAUACGUACAUCCCUCGUGCUUCCUAUUUUUUUUUUGUAUUUUUGCUCCUCUUACAUCCACUAGUUUUUUCUUUUACUUCUCUUAAAUGAAAAAUAGGAAUUAAAAUCCGAGUUAAUCCAGAUCCACUUACAGCUCAAUCCCCUAGCAUGCAUGGCUUCACCACUGUGUCCAAAAUCUUGACAUUUUAAAUGACAUAUUUUAUCUGUGUGAAUGUUUAUCAAAGAUUUAAGACUUAAGAGCAUAAUAUUGUACGACUAAGAGCUGCAUUUGCAAGUUAGGGGCUGCAUACAGUAUCGUUUUAUGUUGGUUAAUUAUCUUAUCGUAAGCAUCAAGCAGGUUUAAUCAUUAACUAGGUAGUUUAUAGUUAAACUGCAUUCUAGUUUAGAUUUCCAUUGGGUUGUGUCUGAUGAGUUAUCAACUUAUCAUGCAUCCGUAAUCGAUCCGUCUUAAAUAAUUUGCACGACUAUCAGUCGAC
rnacentral:lncRNA from 1 species